CUCCAGACUCCUACGGGAGGCAGCAGUGGGGAAUAUUGCACAAUGGGGGAAACCCUGAUGCAGCAACGCCGCGUGAGUGAAGAAGUAUUUCGGUAUGUAAAGCUCUAUCAGCAGGGAAGAAGAUGACGGUACCUGAUUAAGAAGCCCCGGCUAACUACGUGCCAGCAGCCGCGGUAAUACGUAGGGGGCAAGCGUUAUCCGGAUUUACUGGGUGUAAAGGGAGCGCAGACGGCAGUGCAAGUCUGGAGUGAAAGCCCGGGGCCCAACCCCGGAACUGCUCUUGGAACUGCGUGGCUGGAGUGCAGGAGGGGCAGGCGGAAUUCCUGGUGUAGCGGUGAAAUGCGUAGAUAUCAGGAGGAACACCGGUGGCGAAGGCGGCCUGCUGGACUGCAACUGACGUUGAGGCCCGAAAGCGUGGGGAGCAAACAGGAUUAGAUACCCGUGUA
rnacentral:rRNA from 1 species